UACGUAGGGUGCAAGCGUUAAUCGGAAUUACUAGGCGUAAAGCGUGCGCAGGCGGCUAUGCAAGACAGAUGUGAAAUCCCCGGGCUCAACCUGGGAACUGCAUUUGUGACUGCAUGGCUAGAGUACGGUAGAGGGGGAUGGAAUUCCGCGUGUAGCAGUGAGAUGCGUAGAUAUGCGGAGGAACACCGAUGGCGAAGGCAAUCCCCUGGGCCUGCACUGACGCUCAUGCACGAAAGCGUGGGGAGCAAACAGG
rnacentral:rRNA from 1 species